rnacentral:misc_RNA from 1 species
GAUGAAGAACGUAGCGAAAUGCGAUAAGUAGUGUGAAUUGCAGAAUUCAGUGAAUCAUCGAAUCUUUGAACGCACAUUGCGCCCCUCGGUAUUCCGUGGGGCAUGCCUGUUCGAGCGUCAUUUAACCCCUCAAGCCUAGCUUGGUAUUGGGUGCUUGUCCCGCCUCUCGCGCGGCGACUCACCUCAAAGUCAUUGGCAGCCCGCAUCUCGCCGGCCGUGAGCGCAGCACAGACGCGCUCCUGGCAACGACGGAUCGGCUCUCCAAAAGCUUAUUUCAACCACUGACCUCGGAUCAGGUAGGGAUACCCGCUGAACUUAAGCAUAUCAAUAAGCGGAGGA